GUAAACAUCAAUAAUUUUAAGCAAAGUAAGAUUUACAAAUAAGUCAACAUGACGGAAAUGGUCAAUUGACCCCUAAGGAGUUAUUGUCCUUUAUAGUCAAUUUUUAACAAUUUUCAUAAAAUUUGUAAAUUUUAACUAACAUUUUCCACUGAAACUACUGGGCCAAGUUCAUUAUAGAUAGAGAUAAUUGUAAGCAGCAAGAAUGUUCAGUAAAGUAAGAUGUACAAACACAUCACCAUCA
rnacentral:lncRNA from 1 species